CCCUCCAAACAAGAUUGUCCCCAAUUAUUCAUUCCCCCCAAAACAAACCCUUCAUUGUCCCCAAUUUCUCUCCAAUCUGCAACCAUAUGAAGCCCCGCAUCUCCGACCACUUCCAGGCUACCUCCGUAUCUCCCACCACCUUCCGGCCACCUCCGCAUCUCCAACCAUCAUCAAUGUCUGACCCCACCUCCCGACCACUUCUGUGACGUCCGACCCCACUCCAACCACCGGCGACCCAACACCGACCAUCUUUGUCUGCAGGUUCCGACCAACUAUGGUGCUACGAGUGGAGGGGAGCAGAAGUUCAACAAGAUAUUUACGCUGCAAGAAUGUUUCACGCCAAGUGGACUGCUGGCCAAACACAUUUAGUAUGCUAACAGGCUUGCAUCUUGUUUGGCAAUUAAGGUAAUCUAUAUUCUAUAUUAGGGUACACUCCAUGGAAGAUGGGG
rnacentral:lncRNA from 1 species